CGGCUGGAGGAGAUAAUGAAGAGGACUCGGAAGUCAGAAGCCGCAGAAACCAAGGUCAGGAUUCUCAGGUUGGGGAGUGGGAGAUGGGGGAAGAAAGGAGGCUGCAGAAAAGCCUCCAGAGCCGAGGAAGAAUGCGGUGCGGGGGGCUUUUCCUGUGUCUGGGCCAAGAGGGAAUUCAGUACUGAGGUAAACCGGUCCACAUAGCUGGCACCUGAUGGCUCUUCCUUUUCAAAGCAGAAGCAGGAUGGAAAGGAGACCAUGGCUAACAAUUCUGGCCCAGGUAAAGCCAUCACUCACGUCCUGUGCCCUGGUCACCCCUGCGCUCCAGUCCCACCCUUCACCAGCCCCUAACUGAUGGCCAUUUCUUUGCUGUGAUAGACCCUGUGAAAGCUGUAGAAACUCGGCCCUCUGGGCUACAGAAGGAUUCUAUGCAGAAAGAGGAGCUGGCCCCCCAGGAGCCACAGUGGAG
rnacentral:lncRNA from 1 species